rnacentral:rRNA from 1 species
UACGUAGGGCGCAAGCGUUGUCCGGAAUUAUUGGGCGUAAAGAGCUCGUAGGCGGCCAGUUGCGUCCGCUGUGAAAUCCUGGGGCUUAACCCCGGGCGUGCAGUGGAUACGGGCUGGCUAGAGGCAGGCAGGGGAGAACGGAAUUCCUGGUGUCGCGGUGAAAAUGCGUAGAGAUCGGGCGGAACACCAGCGGCGAAGGCGGCAUCCUGGCCCUUACCUGACGCUGAGGCGCGAGAGCGUGGGGAGCAAACCGG